UGUUACUUUAAAAUAAGUGUGUCUGUUAUAAAUAACGAAAACAGAAAUUAUCGGAAAUACACGAAGAUAUCCGAAUUUACACGAUGCGAUCAGAUAAGGGGAUUGCAAUAAGUGUUUCUUAAAUAAUCGAACACGUGUAACUGUUUGUGGUAUUGAAGUAUGGAUUACACAGGUUUGUUAUGUAGGUCGAUCACGUGACUGAGCGAUGCUCGAGCUUUUACACAUGUAACUUAAAGUUGCUAUUCGUGUGAUAUUGUCCUCGGGCGGCAUGUUAUUAUGUAAACUCCGUGCAAAUUUACCGUAACUUGUCCAUAGCCAAUGUGGUUUUAGGAGGGAAGGACACAACUUCACGGUACUAGAGGCAGGUGGUCAAUGGUAUGAGGGGUUUUAUUCACAGAGGAGAGGAAUCGGAACGUAUAUACUUCAUGUAUGAUUACACCUGGGACAUGACUCCAGUUACCUCCCCUACUACUACCUACUUGGUGAAUUGGAGCAGGUUUGAAUUCUUUCAACAGUUCAUGCUCGCAACAAUUGAAUGAGAUACAAUUCGUUGACACAAUCUUACCGUGUAAGUGGUGAUGAAAGAUGAAGGCGAUUUUUGAUGGUGUUGUUGGCGGUGGUGCUGGUGGUGGUGGUGUUGGUAGUGGUGAUGACGAUGGUGGUGAGGAUGAUGGUGGUGGUGGUGGUAGUGGUGUUGGUAGUGGUGAUGAUGAUGGUGGUGAGGAUGAUGGUGGUGGUUGUGGUAGUGGUACAACUACUGCAGGUUGUGUGGAUGUUGAUGGCGGUGGUCUUGAUAAUUUGUUGUUAGAAGGCAAGUGAAAAAAUUAUAUUAUAUGAAAACUGUUCUGAUAGAGACAGUAGCUUGCAUAGAUAUUAAGGUAAACAGUUCUAUUUACUUCUUAUUCUUUAAUUACAAAUCUGUUUUCAUAAUUUUAUAUAAUAUCUGAAUGUACUUUAGUUUCAAAAAUUGAGAAAAAAAUGAUUAUUAUUGAUAUAUUUUGUUUUGUGGCUGACAUACAUUGUUACUACAAUUUCUGCCAAGGGUUGUUAAAUGUAUGAGGCCAACAGUUCCAUAGCAAAAUUUAAAUAGGCGCUUGUGUUAGUAGUUUUCACUCCGGAUCACGGCAGUAAGCCACAAUGAAUUAAUCAGAGCACAGUUCAGCCACCACAUAGUCUCUGGGCAUGCUUGUCAAAGGGUUUACAAGUACCAGUUGUCUUUACUUUUGCAGGGAACUGAUAACUUCUGUUCAUGCAAAAGUAGAAUGGCCGUAGAUCAACCACAUCGAAACUGACCUGCACAGUCUGGAAAUCGAACCCGUGUUGCCCGAUUCACAGUCCAACGCCCUACCUAUUCAGAUUGUUAUUGUGGUCAACUUAAAAAGGAGAAGAUCCAUGGUCGAAUGAAUGUAACACAGCUUACUAGAACCGUGCUGAAUGGAAAUGUUUGCAGUUUUCAAGACUAACUAUUUUGCCGAUUUUGGCAAUACAUUGGAUUCAUCAAAAUGUUUAUUGAUAUUUUUAUUUAUCAUGUUUACUGAUAAACAAUUUUUAGAAUGGAUGAAUGACAUUUGUUUCACAAGCGAAAAACAUUUCUUUGAGUAUGGCUGGAAGACCUUGUUCCACAAGCGAACGGGAUGCCAAUGCAUUACUGACCUUGACCUUGAGUAUUAUUUCAGAAGACAGCCGGAGAAAGCGGAAGUAAGGAUGGCAUGAAGAUUUGACGCUGAAGUUCUCUACUAUAUUGUUUUGUUUGUGUGCAUGUGGAUUGGAGCAGAAAUUUUUAUUUCCGUUUAAGUUGUUUCACAGGUAGAGGGUGUUCAAUGUAGGAGAACAAAAGAAUGUUCAUGCACUUCAGUUAUGAUUGCUGCCAUGAUGUGACUGCAGUUACAGUUUUUGUACCCUCUGAAGUUCUGUACUAUUUGUAUUAUGUGACUGUGGAUUAGAGCAGAUUGUUCUUAUUCAAGGUAAGCUGUAGUAUAGAAAAAAACUACAGUCGUUGCACUUCUUAACUCAAAGACAAACAUAACUUUAGCCGCACUUCUAUUGCCGUAACAAGAUAAGUUGGAAGACGGAUUACUUCAGCUUGAACAGGUCCUUACAGCUAGCUUCCGGAAGGUCUGUGGUUCUACUGAUAUAUGCACUUGUGCUUGAACUAAUGCACGAAGAGUCAUAUGAGUUUAAGAAUAAAAACAAAUUGAAUAAAUUAAUGGUAGAAAUAAACAUAAGUAAAUUUUUAAAGUAACUUCUAUUUGUAAUUAAAAACAAAUGUUUAAAAACAUGAUUAAAAUCAUGUCAUAAAGUAAUCACGAGUGCAACUUUAACGUUUUAACAUUUGUUAAUUCUCUUUUUAGUUACU